rnacentral:miRNA from 1 species
AGGGUAAUUUUAUCAUUUUUAA